GUUUGAUUGAACGAUAAUUGCCACUUGUUAUGUUCUGAUUGACCAAUGAUUACAAGAAUGCAUUUCAUCGUCCAUCGAGUCAACAUCUCAUGACACGUGACAGUUAUCGUCCAAUCAGAACGUGACACGUGACAGUCAAAAUUC
rfam:Glycine soja cultivar W05 scaffold2837_74, whole genome shotgun sequence.